UACACUAUUAGAGGCACUGCCUGCCCACUGACAUCUGUUAAACGGCCGCGGUAUCCUGACCGUGCAAAGGUAGCAUAAUCAUUUGUUCUCUAAAUAAGGACUUGUAUGAACGGCCACACGAGGGUUUUACUGUCUCUUACUUCCAAUCAGUGAAAUUGACCCUCCCGUGAAGAGGCGGGAAUGCAUAAAUAAGACGAGAAGACCCUAUGGAGCUUUAAUUAAUUAGCCCAAUAAAGAAACAACCUAUCCCCCUAGGGCAAACCCUAAACUUUUUAGGGGGAUAACAUUUUGUGUUGGGGUGACCUCAGAAUACAAAACCCCUUCAGAGAGACAAACCCUUACACCAACAUCUCAACGGAUAUACUCUUUUAGUGCCCCAACAUAUUGAUCAGCGGAACAUUUUACCAUAGGGAUAACAGCGCACUCAUAUUUGAGACUCCAUAUCCAUAAUAGGUUUUACCACCUCUAUGUUGGAUCAAGACCUCCCAGUGGCGCAACCUCUAUUAGGGUCUCUUUUGUUCAACUAUUAAUCCCCUACGUGU
rnacentral:rRNA from 1 species